GAUGAAGAACGUAGCGAAAUGCGAUAAGUAAUGUGAAUUGCAGAAUUCAGUGAAUCAUCGAAUCUUUGAACGCACAUUGCGCCCGCCAGCAUUCUGGCGGGCAUGCCUGUUCGAGCGUCAUUUCAACCCCUCAGGCCCUAGCGCCUGGCGUCGGAGGCUUUCCCCCCUCACCGGGGAACCUCUCAGAGACAGUGGCGGACCCGCCGCGGCUCCGAGCGCAGUAGUUAAAAAGCGUGUCGCUCUGGAGAUCACCGCGGGGAGCCUCGCCGUUAAACCGGGCCGGUGACCUGGCCCACGCACAAGGUUGACCUCGGAUCAGGUAGGAAUACCCGCUGAACUUAAGCAUAUCAAUAAGCGGAGGA
rnacentral:misc_RNA from 1 species